rnacentral:rRNA from 1 species
GCCAGGGAACUACGAGCAAAGCUUAAAACCCAAAGGACUUGACGGUGCCCCAUAUCCCCCUAGAGGAGCCUGUCCUAUAACCGAUAACCCCCGUUUAACCUCACCACUUCUAGUUCAUCAGCCUGUAUACUUCCGUCGUCAGCUUACCGCGUGAGCGAAAUACGUUAGCCUAACUGGCCUAUUGCUUACCAUCACCACCAGCACGUCAGGUCAAAGUGCAGCAAAUGAAGUGGGAAGAGAUUGGCUACACUUUUUAACAUAAAAAAUAACGAAAGACAAACAAUGAAACUUUAUCAGAAGGAGGAUUUAGCAGUAAAAAGAGUUCAUGAUACUCAUUUUAAAUCGGCACUGGAGUGUGU